AAUGAAUGGUUGGACGAAAUACAUACUGUUUCAUUUAAAAUUUAAAUAGAAUUUUAUUUUUUAGUUAAAAAGCUAAAAUAUAGUCAAAAGACGAGAAGACCCUAUAAAUCUUAAUUGUGUAUAAAUUUUUAAUUUGGGUUGAUUUUUUUAAGUAUAAAUUUAUAUAUAAUUUCAUUGGGGUGAUGUUAAAAUUUAAUUAACUUUUAAUAAUUUUAUUCAUUUAUUUAUGAUUAAGUGAUCCAUUAUUAGUGAUUAUAAAUUUAAGUUACUUUAGGGAUAACAGCGUAAUUUUUUUGGAGAGUUCUUAUCGAUAAAAAAGUUUGCGACCUCGAUGUUGGAUUAAGAUUCAUAUUUAAAUGUAGAAGUUUAAAUAUUAAGUCUGUUCGACUUUUUAUUCUUACAUGAUCUGAGUUCAAACCGGUGUAAGCCAGGUUGGUUUCUAUCUUUGAUUUAAUAAAAUAUUUUAGUACGAAAGGAAUUAGUAUUUAUUUUUUAGAAAUUUAAUUAAUGAAUAAAUUUAAUUACUAU
rnacentral:rRNA from 1 species